GAGAUUUCCGCCCCACCGACUCAGAGCUCCAGACUGUGAAGCCUAGAUUGGUAUAGUUUCUCAUUUCAGGGUUGGGAGAAUGGAGCCACAAACCGUAGAUGUCAGAUCCACACCGCUCCACACUGCAUCUCUUGUCGCCCUAGCACCCCAAGUGGACUAAGUCAUUAUAAUAUAAACACUGAAUAUGGAUAUAGCAAGAAAUUGUGAAGAUGGAGAGAGCAAGCCAGCACAAGUAGGGGGAGUGGAAGAG